rnacentral:rRNA from 1 species
UACGUAGGGUGCAAGCGUUAAUCGGAAUUACUGGGCGUAAAGCGUGCGCAGGCGGUUUUGUAAGUCUGUCGUGAAAUCCCCGGGCUUAACCUGGGAAUUGCGAUGAAGACUGCAAGGCUUGAAUCUGGCAGAGGGGGGUAGAAUUCCACGUGUAGCAGUGAAAUGCGUAGAGAUGUGGAGGAACACCGAUGGCGAAGGCAGCCCCCUGGGUCAAGAUUGACGCUCAUGCACGAAAGCGUGGGGAGCAAACAGG